rnacentral:rRNA from 1 species
GCCUCACCUCUCUUUAAACCCUUUAACACUAUUAAGUAAUUCUAUAAAUAUAUAGAAGCUUUUAUGCUAAAACUAGUAACAAGAAAUUGUUUUUCUCCAAAAUUUAAGUAUAAGCCAAAAUGGACUUACCGUUGGCAUUUAACGUUAAUAAAACCACUAUAGCAACACACCUAGAAAACACUAUACUUUCUCCACGUUAACCUUACACAAGCAAAUUUCUGGAAAGAUUAAAAGAAAAAGAAGGAACUCGGCAAAUUUUAACCCCGCCUGUUUACCAAAAACAUCGCCUCUUGAUAAGAUAUAAGAGGUCCAGCCUGCCCAGUGAUAUUCUUAAACGGCCGCGGUACCCUGACCGUGCAAAGGUAGCAUAAUCAUUUGUUCUUUAAAUAAGGACUCGUAUCAACGGCAUUACGAGGGUUAUACUGUCUCCUUUUUCCAAUCAGUGAAACUGACNUCCCCGUGAAGAGGCGGGGAUAAAUAAACAAGACGAGAAGACCCCAUGGAGCUUUAAACCCAAUAACAACUCUCUUUAAUAAAAACUUUAAAAAUAUAGACGUACNUGUUUGUUGGUUUUGGGUUGGGGUGACCACGGAGUAAAAAUUAACCUCCCUGACGAAUAGAUUUCAUCUUUAUCCAAGAGCAACUGCUCGAAGAAUCAAAAAUUUGACGCUACAUGAUCCGGCAACCGAUCAACGAACCAAGUUACCCUGGGGAUAACAGCGCAAUCCAUUUCAAGAGCUCCUAUCGACAAAUGGGUUUACGACCUCGAUGUUGGA